GUUUCCAAACAUAUUCUGUGCUCUGAUUCUGAGCUCUGUUAGUGAAAAAAACCCAGCUGACUUCAGUGGGUUAGGAGCUACUGUUUUGUUCAACAGUAAAUAUGAUGCAGACUGGAAUGUGGUCACUGGCACAACAGUCACCAUGGGGACAGCAAACACAAGCAGUUCCACACAGCACCCGUGUUUCUCAGCACAGACAGACAGAAGCGGAGCCCCUUUCUGCCCUAGUUUUAGCACUGGACUACUGAGUAAUCUUUCACCAACGUAACUUGAAGGACAGUUCCAACAACCAGGGAGGGUAGUGCUGUGAGACAACGGAAUAUGUGUGCUUUGCAAAAAGAUGGACAGAACUGGUGGAAAAUUCAACCCAGAUACGCUAAUGAAGUCCUCAUCGGAAAUUGGCUGGAAGAGAGGAGAAGGUUUACAAAAGACUCUGGAAAACUCGGCAGCAGCAUAUACAAAACAGACUUCAUUUGGUUCCCAGAUCACAAACCAGACCAAACACUAAGGAGGACCAUGAUGGAAAAAUUUGAGGGCCUGCCAGUGCAGUACUUCUUCACCCAUCAUGAUGAGCCAAGAAGCCGAAAUCUAGUAUCAGAGUAUGAUGAUAAAUACAACAGACAUGGUUACAACCCUGUGCUGCUUCCCCUCCACAGCCGGAAUGAAUACAAGUUUGCCUGGAUUCCUAAGAAAGCAGAUUACCCUAUUCUUGAACCACCCACCAACUACGGCCUUCUUGAGCACCUGAUGAAAAAAUGGCACAAGAAAGAAAAUGGAGUGAUGAACAGUGUCUACACCACCUCCUAUGAAAGCCCACCGAUUUCUGCUUUUGCUACUCGUCAGCGGGGAAAAGCAGCUACAACUCAUGUCCUCCCUUCCAACCAGGGACACCUUCCCCAAAACAUUAGCAGAAUCCUGGACUAUGAAGGAUGUCAGAAAUAUCUGCAAGUCAUCCGCCAACUGGUGAGAGACAGAAAAGCAAGGGAUGCCUCUGUAAACCGCUUAGGGUGAUCCUAAGUACUACUUAAUAUAGCUUGUUGCUCAUGCAUGUAAGAGUGAUCUGUUCCAUGCAGAAGGAAUGAGAAUUAGGUUAUAGAGGUGGAGGGCUGCCUACUAGUUAGAAGAAGUUGCUGGGUUACAUUCAGACCUGCAGAUGGCUGGGAAUAUUUCAGAAGAUAUUAAAUCACUGAAAACAAAAUUUUCAUCUGUUGGUUUCUAGUAAAUGAAUAGUUAGAGUAAGAAAAAAAGAAAGCAAAGUCAGAUUGAACCUGAAAGAAUAUAAAUCCUUUAAUUGCCCCUAGUGCUUCUUUCAUUUUCACACAGCUUGCUCUACAUUUCUUCAAAGAGCGGAAUAGAAAUCUGCGUUACUCCAUAACGUGUCUGAAACAUCCAAGAAUGAAGUAAACAUUCGAAGUGACUGCAUACCUAGGGACAAGGUGAAGCACGGUUUCUCCCAAUGCAGUAAGCAAGCAGACCUUGAUUGCCCUUGGCUUUACAUACUGAAUGGCACCUCAUGGUAGAUAAGCUGCAAAGUGAGCUACGUUAGCUGACCUUACCUUACCAAACAGUAAACCUAGAAGAAAUUGCUGUAGGUGGCCUUUAUACUGAUGGCCACCCUCAUACUUUACUCGGUUAAGAAAGUAUGUGAACAACCUAUGUACAAAGUGCUGACAGAAGUCCAAAUUCUUACUGCACUGCUGUGCGUUUAAAUCACGUUUGGUCCAGAGGAGAGAUAUUUGCAAGGGUCAGCUGCUAUUAGUCUGAGGCUCAGUGAUAGACUUGCAGCAAGCUAAAGGCUUAGAUUAAAUAUAUCUGGAAUUACUUCAAUGCAUAUUUCUCUCUUCAUCAAUUCUGCUCAAGAUUAGCAAUAAUAUAAUUAUUUUUAGGAACAAGAUAAAGCAUGUUCUGUAGUCUUGGCAUGGACAAGCCUCUGGCCAUGAUCUGUACAGAGUUUUUACCUCUGCAACAUUUUGUUCACUGUGAUUUAGGUUCGCUUUUUCAAGGUUGGCUUUUCAGCUGAAGGACACUGAUGAUUCAGAUGUGUGUGUAGAGCAACAGUGGCACCUAUUGGCAAAGGGAUUCUUCACUAAUUGGGAGACAUGCAAAAACGUCUGCAGGAGAGGAACCAGACCCUCGGCUGGCCGCAGGAACCAGAAAGCAGCAUUGUUAAUGAAAUCUUUUAGAGAUGCAAGAGCCCUGAUAAUUAGAUAAGUAUUAUAUAGGGUUUUUUUGGCUUCAAAGCCCCAGGGAGAACAAAGGCAAUUAGAAAAAAUUGAAAGCAAAAUAGGUGAAAGUAGUCACUGAAACACAGCCAGCUAUUAGUGCUGUGCUAUAAAAAACACAUUCUGUUGAAAAAGCAUUUUUAAAGUAACCCAUAAAGAAGGGGUUACAAUGGAAUAAAGAAGCCUUGCAAUGGAAUGAAAAUUGGUGGAUACAGAAAUUCUUGUAUCCACAAGGAACUCCAUCCAGUUUAGUUUUAUUGCCAAUACAACUAUAAAAAGUGUAUUUUUUCUGUUUGUUACCUAUGUGCUAAUAUUUUUAAUGAAAAUACCAGUCAGGCAUGCAUACUAACAGCACAACAAAGCCUAUAUAAUAUUUAUAAUAUUUAUAAUAUUUAGCCCAUAUAAUAUUUAAAAUACAGCUUAGAAAAUUACACAAAGGUAGUCUUAAUUUCACAUAAUUCUAUCAGUUUGCUUAAAAAUCUGGUCAUCAAUCAUUCAUAAUUAUUAAAUAUUUAUAGUAAAAUAAACAUUUAUGGUUAUUAUCUACUGUGCUUCUAAAACCAAAGCUCAGAUAUGGAAAGACGUGGCCAGCCUGAUGUACAGGGGGUUACUGAGGUGCACAAUUACACAUUACUGUGAGAUUUGUAUGAAGACAUUAAUUCCAAGUCUGUAAGCUGACUGGACAGGGCUCCCCAAGCACAGCUCUAAUCUGUUCAACUAUUGAGACAUUUACAAGUAAAAUAUAUGAAUAUGACACCCAAAGGAACCAAACAAAGCAUUUUGGAACUGGAUGAAAUGCAUUUUGAUAGAGAGCUUCUUAAAUAGAAAACUGCACAACUCUGUAAGAUAUGUCAGUUGUGAUUAAUAAUACCCAGGAGCAAAAUAUCUGCUUUGAACUGUUUAACCGAUAAGCUGUUUUCACUUUGGUAAUGCUAAAUAUGCAUCACAGAUAUCUAGCUAGCUUUUUUGGUGACUUAAGCCUCAAGAUGAACUCAUGACAGAAAGAGUCCAAGCUUCUCCAUCUCUUAAUCUCAGUUCAGUGAAGGUGGAAUCAAACACAAACCAGCCAGUAACAAAAAAACUGAAUGAACGUAACUUUAUCUCAAACACAUCGCUCAAAUAUUCUACAAGACAAAAUUUCACACAGAGUAGCACUGAUAAUCAAGCUCUUCCCCCCUUUUCUUCUUACAAAGUGGAGUUGACCUCAGUUAUUCCAGACACAACGCCCCAAAACUGUAAGGUCGAGCCAUUGCUGAAAGCAGUGCUGCAAACACAUGGCUACACCAAGAAUACCUCGUUUAUAAUUUCUGGCUGACCAUUUUGAUUAGGUCAAUCCUAGGUUCUGAUCCUGUACAUCUGUUUUAUUGCCAGUAGGUUGAGGUAAGCAUAUUCACAGUUGUUUUCUGAGUACUAUACUGCAUUUGGCAGAAGUGUGUUGAAGUGGGAAUGGCAGAUAAAAAUGAAGGAUGCCUACACCUGUAGUUCAUAGACACCAGUUCUCGCUGAGACAAACAAUAUCGUCUAACCAGUUACAAUAUUGCUGUGCUAGAGGUUCCUUUAUUAAUAAAUACCCUUGUUGUGUCUAACACAAAUACAUUUCCCAACUCCCCCAGUCUUCAGAUAUUACAAGGACUUUAAUUCAAGAUAAAACCACUAAAACAGGCCAUUUUGCCUGUGCUUCAAGAACAGGUGAAAACUGAAACAAUUUAGAUGUUCACAGCUGCCAUGAAAAAGAGUUUCAGAGGAAGAGUCGUAUUUCAAAAAACUGGAUAUCCCCCGCGCCCUCUUCUCUUCCCAGAACUUGGGACUUUCCAUAAACGAUCACGAGACAUUUUAGCAAGAGAUACCAAAUGCAAUUCCCCUCUGUUUAAUUAGCCAAGACAGCAUGCAGUGGCAUGGACGUAGACAUGGGCGGGUCUACAAACAAGUCUCUGAGGGCAGCGCAGUAGUAGGAACGCAGUAACUUUGAAGUACAACCUGUGUACUCACGGCAGUCUGGCUACAGUGCACUGAAGCUCAACUUUCUGGUGGGUUUUGCAGCUUGUGCCACCCGCUGUGCAGCUGGGAUUAGACAAUUUCUUUGCACCUAAGGUGGUCAACACUGCAGCCACACCAGCGGUAUGUCUUUCAUCACUGCAAAUAGUAACAGUGCUCAUCCGCCCUGGUUGUAUACAGCAAUAUACUAUUACCAACUUCAGUGUCAGCGUUUCUCUUCUCCAAAAACUUUCAGGUGACAUUCUGGCUCCGCUGAAGUCAGAGGUAAAAGUCUUAUUUUUCCAAAUAUCUGUUGGACAUGGAAAAAGAUCCCCAAUUUGUCAUUCUCCCCCUUUCACAGAUUGGGAAAGGCACUAACUAUCCAUUCACUUGCACCAAAGCUUUUGCCAUCAUGAGUUUGAUUUCACAGACAAUUGCCUUCAGGCCUUCCAGCAAAGUGCAAAACACAUAUUUGAAGAGGUUAUUUAAACACUUGGCCUCUCCGGGGUACAACAUGCCGCCCAGGAAACAAAUUCCAAGAACAUGUGCCUUUGAAAAAUAACCUUUAAAAAAAGACAGCUGUUGAUGCUACACAUCUAGCUUCAGACAUUUGGUCGGCUGGCUUAAACCUCUGACAGGCUGUGGCCACCUACAUAUAGAAGCCAUAUUCCAUCAUCAGCUAAAUAUAUUCGUAUCUCUGUAGGGGCAGGAUACAAAAAAACCUGCAAGUCUGCACUUACUAAACUAAGGGAUCAAUUCCCUAAGUCAGCUGGGAAAAGCAAUCGAAGCAGACUGGAAUAGUGACAUUCCAGCCAGCAGACAAACAAGAUUGUAUUGUGUGUGUACCCCAGAAUAAACAUCAUGUGAAUUCUCUACUUGGCCAAGAAAACUGAGAUAAUUAGGAAAGGGAAUCAUCAUCUUUUGUAUAAUGAUCUACUGAUUGAAGAGUUUUGUCCUAGCUGAAAAAAUAUGCUAAGAAGGGAAAAUUAGAGGUGUUUGGGGCCUUUUGGCAAUAAAUUUUACUUCUUUGCUGUUCAAAAAACCUCAUACAAACCGAGGGGGUUUCCACCUAAACUUCAGGGGCUUUUAUAUUUCGUACCCAUACAGCAAUCAGGUGUAUUUCAGCCAAUAUUUAAUAGUUCCUCAAUUUAGGGGGAGGGAGGGAGUAAGAGAGAGACCGACCUGAAUUUAUCACACAUUUAAUUUUACCCACUCGAGCAAACAUAUUUGCCUGAGACAAGGCUAAUGAAGUAGUGUCACUGAAGGAAGUGCAGAGAAAUUGUUAAAAUCCCUAAAUCUAGAGCACACAUUUAUUACAAACUGGCUUAAAACAAAGCUUAUUUGCCUCAACAUCACAGAGGUGUAACAAGUCCAAAAUCAGGGAUUUAAAACUGGGGGAUUGUUUUGCUUUUGUGGGUUUGUGGGGUAUUGUUUUUUGGGGGUUGGGGGUUGUUUUUGGGUUUUUUUUUCCCAAUUCAUCAUCCUAACCAGAUUCAUAUGCAUGCUGAGCUCUUUACUGUAUCACCUUGGGUAUAAUAGAGCAUAAAUAUGUGCUCCAAAACACUGCUAAAUGUAGCAGAGACCAAUUAUUUCUGUAUUUAGGGGGUCAGAAUAUGCUUGAAGUGAAAUUUAACAGCAGUGCUAUGGCUUAUCUUCUCUUACUUCUAUGUAAAAGAGAAUAAACAGGCUCUAAUUAAGAUAAGCAGUGAGAACAUUGCCUAUGAAUAAAGUAAUCAUAACUUGCAGGUAUUGUAUUUAAUCAAAUCAAGAAAACCAAUCAGUGAUUUGUCUGGCUUAUCAUAACUAAAGACUUAAUCAACAAAGUCUAGAAAAAAACAAAGAUAAUAUUUAUUUAUUAGAUAAUUGAAUAAAAACUUAUUUCAUCACGAAAAUACCAUGCUACUCACUGGUGUGAUAAAAAUCCUGCCGUAAACCCGAGCCAUUUAAUGUCUGCUCUUUUUUAUUUUGCUGAUUGUGUUACUCUAUAGAUAAGUUUAAAAGGAAGGUGUUUGAAGCGGGCAUAAUUUAUCUCCACGUUGUAACGCAGCCUUGGAUGCUGGCAAUAAUUCAGCAGGUGGGUUAGUGCUAGCUUGUAUUUUGCAGAAAUGCUUCUUUUAGUGGCAACUUCCAUGCUUUCUUAGCUCAUAAAUUGUCUAUUUCUCCUCUCAAUUCUGCUUUUGUCAUAACUUUUAAUCUGAAUCUUGUCGUCCUUUUAACUCAGGCACUGUACAGUCGGAGGAGAUCCUGACCUUGGAUGGAAUGGGGAGGCAGUUGUGGAGAGACAGAACACUCGUAACCUCCUAAAGUGAACAAUGUCAAUGGGGAAGGACAUCCUCAAGUCGGUGAUCCCUUUUGAGUGAAUCCCUAGCAAACACAUUUCACCGAGUCACCAAAGGUAAAAAAAAAAAAGCCCAACAAUUUUUGCUGAUCAUUUUUACUCCUUUCAUUUUAGAGAAAUAUAACUCUUGGCUGGAUAUACUCAGCCAAAUGUUUUAUGAAUUGGGAAUCUCCCAAGCUUUUUUAUUUAAAGAGCUCUUGAUAUUCUUUUACUGCAGUAAACACUGAGCCUUUCAUAACCUUGCUAUGUGUGAUCCCUUCUGAAAGUCACUCUGCCAUCAACUGUACUGGGAUUUCAUAAUAGUAAUUUGCCACACUGUCAGAAAUAGGCUUAUCAUGCUGCUGUCAUUGGUGUCAUGUGAACAUCACUCAGUAUGCUGUGCCCUUCAAAUGAAAGCCAGUGCUCUGAGCCAGUAGUAGAGAGAGAAAGAAGAAAAAAAAAGGGAAGAGUAAGAGAACAUUAACUCUCUAAAGUCAAGCACAGCCUCCACCUGAAGGAAGAAGAUGCAGAGCUACUGUAUAUGGUGCGAGCACUUGUUUAAACAUCAGUAAUAUUGACUGGGUAAUAAAGUUGCAUUUUUUUCCAGUCCAUCUGAAAUCUCUGGUAAAUCUGUUCCUGUUGUGUCUCAUUCUGUGAGCGUGGCAUGAACUAAUUUCCAACACCACUAGAAAGACAUCAUUCCCAGUGCCCACAGGCCAUUAGCAGAUCUUGACUAGUUGUUCAGGUUUUAAAAAUAUAUUUCCAUCAUUUUCUUUCUGCUUUUUUGCAAAUGCUUUUGUGGGUAGUUUCCUAAGCUUUUCCUGUAAAAAGCCUUGGAGAUUUGGAAUUCGCAGAGUUUUAUUUAAAGAAGCAAUAGGUAUUAUAACAUCCUUUAAAAGGGGUUCUCACCUGCACUCACACAGUUCAAACAGUGCUUUUCUCAAAACUUUUUCUCCUAUAAAGUCACCCACCCCGUAAACUCUUUAGCAAUUUCCAUGGUUGUGUCACGGUUGAAUCAG